GUUGAGGUCUGUCCCAAUGGGGCUUUUUCUGUAGACCUACAUUGUUGGAAAUGCUUCAUAGAGUAAGUAUGUGGUUUCCUUCACUCACAGAACUAUGUGUUAGAUCUGUGAGAAAGAAUUUCCAGACAGAA